GAAGGUGGGGAUGACGUCAAAUCAUCAUGCCCCUUAUGCUUAGGGCUACACACGUGCUACAAUGGGUAGUACAGAGGGUUGCCAAGCCGUAAGGUGGAGCUAAUCCCUUAAAGCUACUCUCAGUUCGGAUUGUAGGCUGAAACUCGCCUACAUGAAGCUGGAGUUACUAGUAAUCGCAGAUCAGAAUGCUGCGGUGAAUGCGUUCCCGGGUCUUGUACACACCGCCCGUCACACCACGGGAGUUGGAGACGCCCGAAGCCGAUUAUCUAACCUUUUGGAAGAAGUCGUCGAAGGUGGAAUCAAUAACUGGGGUGAAGUCGUAACAAGGUAGCCGUAUCGGAAGGUGCGGCUGGAUCACCUCCUUUCUAAGGAGA
rnacentral:rRNA from 1 species